GAGAGAGAGAGAGAGAGAGAGAGAGAGAGAGAGAGAGAGAGACAGAGAGACAGAGAGACAGAGAGACAGAGAGAUAUGUUUUGUGUUCUGAAGUUUAUACCAGUGAUCCUACGACAGCUAUGCUGUGGGAAACCUGAGCUGGACCCCUCAGAUCAAGUUGAGAAGAAGCCAGUGGCCUGGAAGAUAAGAACAAAAGUUCCACUUAACCUUGAUGCUGAGUCAGAGAGAGCUUGGCUUACCAUCCUAUGCCCGACAGCCCAGCACAUGCCCAGGGGAUGCCCCGCUCAAGGUCUGUGCACUGAGGUGUGAGAAGAAUGUGCGCUGUGGAGAACCUAACUGAGUUCAAAACUGCUUUUAACAUACAACCAACAAAGACAUCAGCAAGAAUGAAAACUGGUGAGAGGCAUUACUCUUCCUUCUGCAGAAGUUCAAAAGGCCAGAGAUUGCAGAGAGCGCAACCCACGAAGCAGGAACAGAUACUGGCAAUGCCUCUCCUGAUUGCUAUCCUGUAAAUUACCAACCUGGCAGUUGACACACAAAACACAGUGAAACUCAGGUCCCUAAUGACAACACGGUAAACAGUGAACUAGGGCAUCCACAUGCCUGGGAACUGGAAGUUCCUGCACAGACAUUUAAAUGUCACCAUGACACGCUCCAGUGAGCUCCUCUGGCCAUCCAACCUCCAGACUGUGGCAGUGUAGAAUCCAAACUAUGAGGUGUCAUAUCUUAGAUCCAAUCUACUGCAUAUGUAUGGCAAAUUCAGAAGUCAUUAGCGAACACAGAAGUUAUGGAUCUUAUUCAAUGGCCAUUCAUUUUAGAUGAAUACAAAAGGUCUCUAAACUUAAAAGCAGCAAAUACAUAGAUCUCCGUGUAUAGAGGGUAGAAGGUAUUGGUCACUGGUUCUCAGCAGAAAUAUCUCAACACUCCAUUCUGAGAGGACUACCCAGAGGACAGAAUCUGCACAGUCAUCCAAAGGACACAUUCUGCUCCUGAAUGGUUAGCCGAAGGUCUAAGAAGUGUAGGGAACUGAUUGGUUUAAGAGAGACACACUAAGAGAGAUGGCACAGUGGUUAAGAGCACUGGGUUUCUGUCCAGAGGAACCAGGUUCAUUUUCUGGCACCCACAUGGUGGCUCACAGUCUUUAUCUGUAUAUGUCUAGUUCUAGAGGAUCUAACACCCUCUUCUGGCUUCCUUAGGGACCAUGCACACAAGUGAUAAGACAGGCAAAACAUAAAACAACCUAUACAUCACUUCACUAGCAUUUGAGGCUGUGGCAGGAAAUCAUGUGUUCAAGGCCAGCUGGGCUAUACAUUAUCGGAUUUUUUUUUUGUCUCAAAAGAUAAAACAGAAAAGAAAAAAACAGAAACCCCUUUUCUUUUCUGGCCUGGGGAGACGGCUUAGUUGAAGUACUGGCUGCUGAAUAAGCAUGAGGACUUUAGCACCAACCCUAGAAUCUUCUUUUAAAAAAAAACAGUAAACUGGUCGACGCUUGCAGGUGGAUUCCUGGGGGUUGGUGGUUAGCCUGUUUACCCUAUCUAGUGAGCCCCAGGUCUCACUGAGAGACAGUCCCUGAAAAACGUCACACACUGGCCUCUGACCACCAUACACAUGAACACACACAAGUAACCAUCACUUUUCUUUUCUGCUUGGCACUCAAGGAGUUUCAAUUCACCGCACAUACAUUUUUCCUGGGGGAAAAAACCCUCUACACAGUCAUUUAUUUUUUUGUGUUAGGCUCUCAUGUAGCCCAAGAUGGACUUGAACUUGCUAUGGAGUUAAGGCUGGUCUUGAACUCCUGAUCUUCCUGCCUCUUUUCCAAGUGCAGGGUUACAAUUAACACACCCACCACUCCUAGCUCCGCAUGGCUGUGUUACUUGUGAUUUUAACUUGAGGCUACUCAGCAGUAGAAAAGGAAUGAAGGUUCGAAGAGGUUGGAAGCCUCUUGGAAGAGGUUGUUUCUCCAUGAGCAGUUAUGCUACAAGAUCUUUCACCAGUGGGCUCACCUCAGACUGAAAGUGCAGUGUGAGGGGUGUGAAAAGGGAACUUUGUGCCUCUGUAGGCUUAACUUCUCCAUUGUGUUCAGUUUGUGGAGAACAAAUGAGGCCAAGAGAGAGACCUGACAGCAGCUGAAAGGAAAGAAGCAAACUGGUGGCUUUGCCAUGAUGAACACCCUGCUCACCUGUGCACAGAUCUGAUGCAUGACGUGACCAAACUCAUGGAAGUAAGUUCGCACUUCGUCGUGUCUCAGGAGAGAGGGCCGGCCUGCUAUGGGCUGAGAGAAGUUGACCACCAGGGCAGCCACAGACAUCAUCCGACUGCCAUCAGGGAGAAGGCAGCCUGGCUGGAGACCAAAGCAGGCCGCAUGGUUGUAUUUUCCUUCCCUGGGAGACAGACACAGAACUGUGAAAUGGACACUCUUCUUUAGCAAAAAAACAUGUCAUGUCUUCUUCCAGGCACUAAGUCAAACUUGACAUCAGAAGACAUUUUCUUGGUCCCCUGAGUCGCCCCUCCCUGCCCCCUGCAUCUUAAGUUUGGGCAGAUACUGGACACCACAGUAAUAGGAGAUUCCAACUGCUAAAGGUCGGUACUGGCCUAGACACAACACGGAACCACGGGGCUGCACACAGGGAAAAACAGCAUCGCUUGCAGUGUCAGGCCUUACACAGGAUGGGGAUGGGGUGGGGGUGGGGGUGGGAGACAGCCCUGAGCCAGCAUCAGGCAGGGAAAGGCUACAGAGCAUCACUUACACACUUUUUUGUUUGUCUCCUACAGACCACGGCCCUAAUACCCACAGGAAGAGAGACCCUGCUGCUCUUAGAGCAGCUGUGCAAACCCACUGCUCUUGGGGAACAGAAAGGAAAAAGCCUCUACAGGGCAGAAAUACACCAUGUGUUCAAACCUACAGCUGUAGAUAAGGCAGGACCCAUUUUUAAGACACAGGACAGAAGCUACUCUGAUUAAGGGUGACUCUGGCUAGGUGCGGUCACACACACUAGUGAUCCUAGGUAUCCAGGAGUUGAGUUCAGUCUGGGGUGUUUAGUAACACCCUGUCUCAAGAAAAGAUGAACAAAACCCAAGAAACAACAAAGUAGAGACGGAUGCUGGACCACUGCAAUAGAUUCCCCACCCUAGCCAGACUAGGGUGCAGCAGCGAGCAAACCACGGCAGCCCACUGCAUGAAAAUGAAGAAGACCUGUUCUGAGUAGUGAGAAGUGGAAGAGACUUAGGAAAAACUUUGGCAAAUGAAUUCUAGACACAGUCUAGAACAAGGGCAAGUCUGCAGCAAGCAGAGGUUAAACCAGGCAGUGGAUGCUCUGGAACCUACCUAAUUACUAAAUGAGCCAAUAGCCCAUAUGAAAAGCCUAGCAGAAGUAAAUGUGGGGCCAAUUUUAGACGUAAAGUUAACCAUAGUCUUCACUCAAACUCCUGACUUUGAAUCAACCUGUGAGAAAUACAAAGAAGCAAAGCCAACAGGGGACCCAUUCGCACGAUGCGGAUGCUAGAGCCAUGAGCACAUUUGAGCAGAUAACCACAUUGAGAUGCUGAAAGGUGUAGGUGUGGGUGCCGUGCACAGUCAGCUGGCUAAGUCUGGAGAGUUGGAAACUGCAGGACAAACUCAUGGGAGCAUGGUGGCCCAUGCCUGCAGCUCCAGCACUCUGGGCAUUCAGUGAGCCCUUGGGUGUUCUUGGAAGAUCUCAGAGGGAACUGCAAGUGCAGAAACAGGUAAACAGAAAAACCUUGGCACGCUUGCCUGCCAUUUUAGACACUCUUUGGUAUACUGUAACACGCUGCAUGCACUGGGCGAGAGUGUAAAAUGGGUGUCAAUGUACUGUGGAGGCAGUUAGUAAACAUUCCCGCUAAAACUCUUAAGAGAUUUUACAUGUUUCUAUUUUUUCGAUUAAAGACAUUCUGCUAAUUUUUACAUCUUCA